rnacentral:tRNA from 1 species
AAGACUUUAUCUUAAUAAAAGUAUUUGAGUUGCAUUCAGAAGAUGAAAGUAGUAUCUUUCAAGUCUUA